GAAAUCUUGGUAUUGCUUACAGGUCACUGGAUGACUAUCAAAAAUCGUUUGAGUAUCAUUAGAAACGUUUGAAAAUUGGAAGAGAAAUCGGUGAUCGGGCCGGAGAAGGAAUUGCUAAUUGCGACAUUGGAACUUGAUACGUUUCUCUUCGCUCUAAAACACGGUGGAUAAUUUUUUUUCCGUAGUGGAAGCCUUUAAUGCUGUGAGAUCUCUUUUUAAGUCUAGAGAUAAAUGGAAAAUGAGCUUUCGUGAUCUGCACUAAGAGAUGUACUCUGGCUUAUGGAAUUCGUUGCUAGGAAUUCAGAAGGUCAAUGAGGCUUUGUUCAGUUGCAGCUGAACAAAGACGAGUGCAGACUUUGUCCGACAAUUAGUUGAGUCAGUAUAAUCUUCCUGCGUCUUUGCCAGCUACUGUUAUGGCGUAAUACUACUGUGCAUCACGAUCCCAUAUCCAACGACCACUGACCACAUAUCGUAUAAUCACAUCACGUUUAUUCAAAUAGUAAUUGAAUUGAGUUGAAUGAAUAAAUGAAAGAAUAUUAGAUGUGAAA